CAGUAACUGAAAUGUCGGGCUUAUAGCAAGGAGAGCGGUUUGUUAUCAAAAGGCAGCCAGACAAAGAAGUAAGAGUUAAAACUCAAAUCUACCUCCUGGAUGGGAAAAAGAUUUUCACAGUUACAAGAACUCAGCAUCCUCUGGCACAUUCCUUCCUGCUCCUUAGGGAAGAGCUUCCAGAAGAUAGCUCUCAGCUUCUCACUGCCUAGCCAUGUUCUCAAUGACUAUUAUGCUGCUUGGAAUGCUCUUCACAGUGAGAGGAACGGGAGCCCAGUCAGUGACCCAGCCUGAUGACCACAUCACUGUCUCUGAAGGAGCCUUUCUGCAGCUGAAGUGCAAUUAUUCCUAUGGUGGAUCUCUUGCUCUCUUCUGGUACCUCCAGUACCCCAGCCAAGGCCUCCAGCUUCUCCUCAAGUACAUAACAGGGGACCCUCUGGUUAAAGGCAUCAAAGGUUUUGAGGCUGAAUUUAAGAAGAGUGAAACCACUUUCCACCUGAGGAAACCAUCGGCCCAUUUGAGUGACUCUGCUGAGUACUUCUGUGCUCUGAGAGACACAGUGACUGAGACUGCAGGGGGGGCUGAACACAAACCUCCUGAGACACUGGAGUUUUCAGAGAUUCAAGGACACAGCCUGACCUGUUCUUAGUAAGGUCUCUCAUUGGAUAAAAGUGAGCAGGGCUGGGGAGCAGAGCCCUGGGGAGCGCUUGGCUCCUGAGGAUAAACAGGAACUUCAAUGUGUUCCUUGUUUUACUACCGGGUCAUGUUAAAUAAGACCUAGAGGGUAUUUUGUUAAGUGAAAUAAGCCAGACAGAAAAAGACGAACUCUGUAUGACUCCACUCAUAGGUGGAAGUUAACAUAUAGACAAAGAGAACUGAUCAGUGGUUACCAGGGGAAAGGAGGGGUGGGG